AGCUCCAAUAGCGUAUAUUAAAGUUGUUGCAGUUAAAAAGCUCGUAGUCGGAUUUCGGGUCGGGCCGAGCGGUCUGCCGAUGGGUAUGCACUGUUCGGCGCGGCCUUCUUUCCGGAGACCGCGGCUACUCUUAACUGAGCGGGCGUGGGAGACGGAUCGUUUACUUUGAAAAAAUCAGAGUGUUUCAAGCAGGCAGCUCGCUCUUGCAUGGAUUAGCAUGGGAUAAUGAAAUAGGACUCUGGUGCUAUUUUGUUGGUUUCGAACACCGGAGUAAUGAUUAACAGGGACAGUCAGGGGCACUCGUAUUCCGUCGAGAGAGGUGAAAUUCUCAGACCAAUGGAAGACGAACCACUGCGAAAGCAUUUGCCAGGGAUGUUUUCACUG
rnacentral:rRNA from 1 species